rnacentral:rRNA from 1 species
UACGGGGGGUGCAAGCGUUAUUCGGAAUCAUUGGGCGUAAAGGGCGCGUAGGCGGGCUCUUAUGUCAGAUGUGAAAGCCCUCGGCCUAACCGAGGAAGUGCGCUUGAAACUGAGAGGCUUGAGUAUGGGAGAGGGGGGCGGAAUUCCUGGUGUAGAGGUGAAAUGCGUAGAUAUCAGGAGGAACACCGGUGGCGAAAGCGGCUCCCUGGAUCGAUACUGACGCUAAGACGCGAAAGCGUGGGGAGCAAACAGG